UUUAUUGUUUGUUAUUUAUUAUCUAUUAUUUAUUAUUGUGCGCCGCCGCGUCACACGCUUAACGAGGCUUUGUAAAAAGAAUAUUAAUUUAAUGCAGUGCAGAAUUCGAAUAUCAUAAAAGACAAUUAAUGAAACCAACACUUAUUCAAUACCUGGAUUUCAGCAAACAAUUUUGCAUAACCACAGAUGCAAGUAAACAGGCAUGGGGAGCGGUACUAUCUUAAGACCAUAACGGUCAACAGCUACCAGUGGCAUACGCUUCAAGAACCUUUACAAAAGUAAACAACAUAACAAGAACUAGCAGCUAUUCAUUGCAAACAAUUUUGCAUAACCACAGAUGCAAGUAAACAGGCAUGGGGAGCGGUACUAUCUUAAGACCAUAACGGUCAACAGCUACCAGUGGCAUACGCUUCAAGAACCUUUACAAAAGUAAACAACAUAACAAGAACUAGCAGCUAUUCAUUGUGUUCCAGGCACGCUGUUUCAUCAGCAUCUAUAGUUGGAAAUAAGCCGGGAAAUCUAACAUUUUCAUUGUCGUGCGAAAGUCUGGAGGACACACUGCGAAUAAAACAAGCGUACUACCACGAGUUAGUCUACCCCUUUCUUUCGGGAUCCAUGAUGGAGUAGCCGUUUAAGGCAACUCCGUGCGCACGACGACAGCUUUUAUUCUUGCACUGUAAUGACGGCUUAGACGGCAAGCUACAGAGUUGCAGGAGCUGGAAUGACGGUUUAGACGGCCAGCGAGGAGGAUUUGUGAGCGCAGUCAGCGCUACGUACCCGCAGAGGAGUCGCAGCCAGCGACAUAGAAAGGCGCAUCCAGCGCCGAGCGCGGUACAACCGGGUCGCAGCCAGCGACGAGGAGACGAAGUGGAGCGUCACUUGCGGAGACCGCAGCCAGCGGUAACGAGCGCAAGGAACGACAAGCAUCAACGUCCGCAGCCAGCAGUCACAAGGCGUCGGAGAAACCAUUUUAAGCGCGCACAGGCGCCGCCAUAUUGGCAGCAUUCCCCAAGGAAGAGUGCCCGGCUGAAUGGAGGGACAGCCACCCCUAUACCCCGGCCACUACGGUGACUACAGUAGCUUUCCAACCUUGAAGUACUGCUGUCACAGCUGCGAGCUCAGCGCCGGAGACGAACCAGUCCCUCACAUUGGAUUUCAAGGAGAGGAUCGCAGCGUUGGAGAAGGAGCUGAAGAAAGUCAGAGCUCGGGAAUGUGCGAGCACCGCCAAUUUCGCGCCAAUCGCAGUUGGCCCAAGCUCAGUUGGCGCCAACAACGGGGUCGGGUCAGUGCCCUAUAACGGUGCGGCCUGCACGCUGCCGCCAUCUUGAAGUGGAGCAUUGCUAACCACUAGCAACCAAUUUGUGGAGCCACUGUGUGCAACAAAAACUGUGCAGUCAGCGCAUAGAUUCGAGGUACCGAACGUGAGCGUCCAAUGUGGCAACAGCAUCGCCACUUGUUAGAUCCUAAGCCGCGAUUACGCCGUAUGGAACCCAGGGAGCCUAUAGACCACAAAAGCUUCCGGACUUGCCUGCAUUUGGAGGGCAGGCGGAGGUCUCGCCCUUCUUCAGCUGUGCGUUCGUUAAGACGACCCGAGCGUACAAUUGCAAGGAUCUGGAGAACAAACAGAGGUUGAUGAUGGCGCUGAAGGACGAAGCCCGCGAGACAGUAAAUGCGUUUCUAAUUCACCCAGGAAAUGUCAACGCCGUUAUGGAGCAGCUGCGCUUUAGGUUCGGCCGACUGGAGCAGCUGAUACGCAGCCAACUCAACAGUGUGCCAGAGGUGCAGCCGAUCUCGAAGCUCAACUUGGCGAAGAUCAUUCCCUUCGUGACUCUAGUAAGCAACCUCUCGGCCUUCUUGCAGUCAGCGAAGGCGGAGCAGCACGUGGGGAAGCCAACCCUCAUGGAGGAGCUUGUGGCCAAGCUUCCUACAAGCAAGCGAAUGGAGUGGGUCAGGCAUGCUGCAGCGAUUGCGCCCUUCCCCACUGUAGAACACUUCAACGCGCGGCUGCGGGAGUACGCAAACGUGGUUUACACUGUCUUGGAUGUCGAGGGAAAGGAACCGAGGCGUCGAGUUCUGCAUGCGAGUGUCGACCAUUUCAAAGGCGAACAGAAUGAUCGCCAUGGAGGUUGUCCAUGACUGCGGAAGACAACACGCAAUCACGAAUUGCCAAGAAUUCGUUGGAGCUUCGCCGCCGGGAAGGUGGAGCAUUGUGAGGAGACAACGACUCUGCUUCACAUGCCUACGAAGCGAGCACGCUACCACAACUUGCUAUAUGCAAUCUGAGUGCCAGAUCAGUAGAUGGCGGAGGAUGCAUCAUCGUCUGCUACGUGACGCGGACGAGGAGCGAAGGCCGCAGCAGCGAGGUGGUUUGAGACGCCACGGAGGGAACCAGCAGUCACCAGUUUCCAGAAGCAGCCCGGCCAAGAUGUCUUUGCUACGAGAUGGUUACAGGGACUAGCAGCGAGCAGUUUCCAGAAACAGCCUGGAGAGAAGUGCUCCGCUUGAAGCGGGAGUGCCCACUCAAAGAAUUUUAGUCUGCGUUGACACCGAAGGAGACCGCCUGCUGUUCCGUAUACUGCCCGUUACGCUGUACGGAGCUGUUCGUAGGGUGGAUACGUACGCGCUUCUAGACGAAGGAUCCUCCGUCACGAUGAUCGAUGACGAGCUGCGAAGGGAUCUUGGAGUACAAGGAGAGCAUUGACAGCUAAACACCCAAUGGUUCGGAGGUAGGUCAGCCAGAGAGCCUACCAACGUGGUAAGUCUGCAGAUAAGUGGAGUCGAACAGGUUGCAGCCGGAUGAGGUCACGGUGAGGAGCGACCGGUUAUUGGAAUUGCCACAUUUUGGUGUCGAAAACCCCAAAAAGCCCUGCAAAGUACGGCUUGUAUUCGACACUGCAGCCAAAGUUGGAGGAACCUCCCUAAAUUCGGCGCUGGACAAAGAGCAUCAGCACUAUAAGUAUUUGCCAGUUGUGCUUUUCCACUUUAGAAAGGGAGCAGUCGGAGUCUACGGCGACAUCAAGGAGAUGUUCCAAGUACUGAUCCGGUCUGAGGAUAGAUGUUCCCAACGAUUCCUCUGGAGAGAUGGCGACGACAAGGGAGAUCCGGAUGUCUACGAGAUGGGGGUAAUGACAUUUGGAGCAGCAUGUUCGCCAAGCGCUGCACAUUACGUGAAUACUCUGAAUGCCCUGAAGUUUCGAGAUUCGGAUCCGAGAGCAGUCAAGGCCAUCACCGACUACCACUAUGUCGACGACUACGUGGACAGUUUCUCUACAGAGAGCGAGGCUAUCAUCAUAUCUACCAGGGUGUAGGAUAUACACGCGGAAUGACUUCAGGUUAAACGUGGUGUAUCAUCGAGUGCCAAGCUGCGUCCUAAGUGGAGAUCAAGUCCCUACGAAGAGGGAAUAUUUGAGCCUGGUGAUGUCCCCUGGAGUUGCUAGAGAUUUGGAGGCAGAUGAUCCAGUGGGAUGAGCCGCUACCGGAGGAGCUAGGCAAGGCCUUUGCGACUUGGCACAAAGGGAUGGACGCCGUGGAACAUUUCCGAUGUCCUCGCCAUUACUUCGGAGACGGACGGUGUGCUGGUGAGUUUCGUAUGCGCAAAGACGGAUCCCACGGCUGGAGUUGCAGGCAGCAGUCCUUAGAACCAGGCUGAUGAACACUGUCAAAGAGGAGCACUGUGUGGUCAUCACGGACCUGGUGUUAUGGACAGACUUUUUGUGCUGACUCUAGAGCUGGCUCCAGGCUUUCUCAAAAUUUUGUUCAAAAGCCAGAGAGCGAAGAGGCUCUAGAGCCAGCAGCUCUCUUGUACUUCAGCAACUUCAGCUCUGGAACACGGGAACGUCUGGCCGUGAUGUAAGCUGUAGU